AAUUCCAAAAAUAAUUUAACAUAAUAUAUAAUUUAAUCAUUAAUGAAACUGAUAAGUGAAAUAUUAUCGAGAAUGAGAAGAAAGAAAUGAAAAAAAUGCGUUUAUCAGGAAAAAUCGAUAUUCAGGUAUGGUUACUAUCACUCGAAGAAUAUAAGAUUUCGUUUAAAUAAUCAACCUUUAUCGAUCUUCAUACCUUUAUGUUCACUUACGAAAUAAAUAACACCAUUUAAUUAUGUCAUCUUGCAUACUUUUGCGCCAAGCAUUUUUCCAUACAGCUUAAUUUAAUUUACGAUCGAUUCGCAGUGAUCACAUCCAUAUCGUGCUAUUUAAAUUAUGACAAUACUUAGAUACGAAAAUACUUAUCACGCUAAAAGAUACGAUAUCUAAACACAAAUACUACGCAUGAUUUAUUAUGCGUGAUUUAUAACGCUAAAAUAUUAACAUUCGAGAUCUUGGAAUGAGUGAAAGCAUUUUAUCAUCUGAUAAGAGGGUUAAAACAAGGAGUCCUGCGAAGAAUUCAGGUCACGAUGGAUAAGAUCGAAAAAUUAUAACCUAGGUUUAUUAAACCCGAGACAACUUUCUCACAGGUUUAGGAGUCGCAUGGUUCAUGAACUUUAACGUUAAGUUCAACACAUCUCUUGCAAACUCGAAAGAUGUACGCUCAUUACGUUCUUCUUACAAAACAAAUACGAGCCAACUAAAUUUCUAACCUUACUUGACUAUAUUGCCGUUUAAAUGGCGCGGGAAACGGCACAGUCACUUUCUUCCAGCCAAUCGGUUUUUUUCGAUGGAUUUUUAAACUGGAUUGGUCGUUAAUUCAAUUUAUACCAUCAAAAAAUAAGGAUCAACAUGAGAAAAUUUCCAAACCUGAUCGAUCGAAAACUCGCCAUUAAAAAAUUAAUAUUCUAUUUUACUAUUAUUCAUAGAUUGUUAAUUUUUAAUUCUUAUAUAAUGUUGCAAAUGAUUUGUGUUGCAAAUACAAAAUGUAUUUCUUCUCAGCCUUGUGUUAUUUUUAAUUAAUCAGACUAGGUCAAGAUAUGACUAAUAGUCGAAAUGAAUAAUCAGAGUUUUAAUUUUCAUUUAUGCACUUUUUUUCAGUGAUACCGACAACUCGUUAUAAUAUUUUUUUGAAAAUAUGUAUUUUUAAAUUUAAUUUGAAUUACGAUUACUUUUAUAAUUUUUUAAGAAGAAUUUUUUAAUAAAAACAGUUUCAUUAAAAAAACUAAAGGUAACUCUGUUCAACAAAUAUUCUCUGUAACAAAUAUUCGAAUUGUUAAAUAAACAUAACAUGUGUAACCAAAUCAUGCAUUAUUUAACUUGCCAACUUCAAUUUGUUUAAUGAAAUUUCAUUCUAAUUUUAUCUUAAUUUUCUUGUAUAGAAGUAUAAAACACUCUGUAUAUUGAGACUAGACAUUUCCAUCUAUCCGAACGAGACGAAUUCUAUUUCAGAUUCGCUUGAACGGAUCGGAUUACCUACGCCAUUCGAUAUUUUAAUAGUUACGUCGAUAGUACAGCGCAUCGAUUAUCUAACCCAUAUCCUUAUAAAAAUUAGCCGUGGCUUGGCAAACGCAAUACAAUCCUCGCGAUCUCGGCCGUGGCGAUGCGUUAUUGCGUGAUAACUUGUGUCGAAUGGCAAAUGUUUGAUUCACACCUGUGUCUUUCCUUCUCGUUUACAUAAAAUGUGUACAUGUUGAUGUUAAAAAUUAUCAAGAUGUGUUCAUUUUAUGAUUAUGAUUAACUAGUCACGUUUUUUCAACUUUUCUCGAUUUUUUGUAUAAUUAUUAACACUUUGUUAGGUUAAGUAUGAUUAGGUUAGGUUAGGUUAGGAUAAGAUGUUUAAUUUUAAUUUUUUGACAAUUGAGCAUUCGAAAUAGAAAUUUUUGCAAUCUAAUUAACAUUUAAUUUUUAAUGAUCAUUCAUUUGAAAUUAUUUAUAUUGAUUUGCAUGAUAAUAAUUCAUAUAGAAAUAGAUUAAAUUAUUUAAUUUCGAUUUUCCAUAAUUUUUCGAUGAUUGAACAUUCGAUCUUAUAAUUUUAAUUAGUUUUUAAUGUUCAAAUUAUGUUUUACAUUGAUUUACGCCAAUGACAAUUUAUUAAAUUUAAAGGAGAUAAAUAUAAAAUUGAAUGUAUUAUAUCUGUACAAUCAUGAUUAGCUUACUGAAUUUUCAGCAAUUGUUUCCUAGCUUGUAAUUCAGCUCAUCUUAUGUGCCAUCAUUUACCUUGAAAAUAUAUUUCCUGCGUAUAUCUUUUCAUUUUUUGAACAUCGAAGUCCGGUUUUGUGUAAAUUUUAGUAUUUUAUGUCUUUUGUAACCAUAAAAUAUAUACUUUCAUGUUUCAUAGACUUUUGUUACGUACUUCAAUGAAUUUUUAUGUUCAAAUUUUUUUUUGUAAUAUUUAGGAAACUUAAAAUCUAGUUGAAUGUUAACUAGUUGUCGUAAAUUUUAAUAUUAUUAAACUUUAUAGAGUAGAAUUUUUGACGAAUUUCAACGAUUUUCAAAAUUACUAUCAUUUUAUUCUAAAUAUUAUAUUAGCGUGUAUCAUUGUCUAGAGAUACGAUAGAAAGUAGAAACUAGAAUCAAGUAGAAAAGGAUCGUCUCUUGUCAGACAUAGUCUAUAUAUAUCUACAUAACUUAUCAACAAUUAUAUUAUAUAUUAUAUAUUAUUAUAUACUUUAUAUUAUAAUUAUAUAUUCUCUUAUAAACUAAAUUAUUCUUUAUACAAAAUUUAGUAACAAAUAAUUAAAAUUUUCAAAUAAAAUUAAUAUAAUGGCAUUUCUAUAUUCAUCCUAAAAAAUAAGUUUUUUUCAAUAAGAAUUAAAAAAAAGAAAUUAAAAAACAAAAAAUAAUUAGUUCCCAAUUUUAAAUCAAUAUUGAAAUACUUAAAUAUAAUAUAAUUAUAAAUAGAAAUUUAACUUUCAAUAUCGAAAAACCAUAAUGGCAAAAAAUAAAUUUUACUAAAAUUUUAUAUUAAAAUUAGAAAUUCCAGACAUUUUAGAGACAAUGUAUUUAUUAUUUUUUACAAUGAUUCGAUUAAUACAGUGUUUCUCAACCUACAAUUUACAUUUAACAUAUAAUAUUUCACCAAAUGUUCAAAAUUUGAAAAAAAAAAUUAUCUAGAGCUAAAAUAUUAAUUAUGGAGUUCUCCAAAAAGUUAUCCAUCGUUUUGUUAUUCUAUCUCGAAUAAACAUAAUAAAUCGCACAUACGAGUAAUCGCAGCUGGCAGAAGUGUUUUGUCUGAAAGCAUUAAUGACUCGUUGCAACCCCAGGGAUACCGAGGCACGUUUUCACCGUGUGCCUUUCCGCUUCAUCCCAAUCUACUCGUUCGUAAUAAGACGUGGAAAUACCGGUUGACUCUUAUUAUUAACCCCUUCCGCGACUGGUUGCUCACCUCCUAGCGAAUUUCACCUAACCAACUCGCAAUUAUGCGGUCGCAUAUUAUCUUUCAGACCACGAUGAUAGAGUCGCUCUUUGUGCGGAAAACC